rnacentral:lncRNA from 1 species
UGUUUAAAAUUUGUAAAGUGAGCAUAUAUGUAUUUUUCAAGGGGGGAGGGAAAGGAUUAGUUGUUAGAGAAGGCAUUACAUAAUUUUGACACUGUCUGAAGAUGAAAGGAAAUUAUUUUUAAAAACUUAAAAUAUAGAAACUUGUUAUUCAAAUGAGCAGGUAUAUUCUAAUUGUAAUUAAUUAAACCAUGUGACUUAAAAAAUCCUGAAAGCAGAUGACAUUAUCUUAUUGAAAAUGUAAGUCUUUAUCUUUUUAUUAACUCAUUUUCUGUUAAGUUUUUGGCAUUUUAAAAAUUGUACUUUGGCACAAGGAAAUCCAGAUUUUCUUUGUUGACUGUAGCAUUAAGAAUGAGACAUAUGAAGCCAAUUUGAAUAAAGAUUUGUUGAAAGCUUAAUUCCUUCUUUGCAAAAAUAGCAACAAUAUCAUGAAAAUAAUGUGCAAACAGAAACAGAAUCCCUGAGGCUUCUACUAAGAAAAACACAGAGAACCAGUAUUUUUACCAGCAAUUCAGGUCACAAGAAAGUUCUGUAUGUUAUAGUUCAGGGACAUUUGCAUAAAUCUCUCAUCUCAGACUAUUUGCACUUUGUAGUGGUAAAAAAUUACUUAUCCUAAGACCUCUUUUUGUACAGAAAAACAUUUUUUUCAAUUCUUUUCCAUUGUUUUCAAUUUAAAUAUGGUGCCUGUUUAAACAGUAACUUUCUGCAUAUGAAACAAGAGAUUUUGUUAAAACUCUGGUACUACUACAAUAUUUCUUAGAGACAUAGAAAAUGAUCAUCAUGAUGAUGAUGUAAUACUAUGGAUGAAACUGAGGUCUUCCAUGUGCCAAAAACUCUUUUAAGGACUUCACAUGCAUUAAUUUAUUGAAUCUUUAUAAAAUCCAUAUGAGAGAGGAGCUAUUAUUACCUGAGCUUUACUGAGAGGAAAAUUGGGAUGUAUAGGGAAAAUGAACUUGCUCAAGGUCACAUAGCUAGGAAGUGGCAGGGCCCAAACCUAAACUCCUAACUGAGUCUCUUACGAUAAAGAGAAAGUGGUGUAAUGACCUACCUACCUGAAUAUUGUGAAACUAUAGAACUGCUUUUAAUAGAAAAGGGAGUUUUUCAUUUGAAAUUUUAAAAUAAGAGAAAUAGAAAUAAAUGAAGUAUAAGUAAAUUUAUACUCAAGUGUUUUUCUUUGUCCAGGGCAUGCUGUAGUUAAUAUACUAUUUGAAAUGUGUCAAAAACAUAUGCACACACAUAUAUUAAAAAAAAAACAUUAUGCGACUAGGGCUCAAAAAAUAGAUGGCUCUUCAAUUUGUUAGGUAUGUUUGGAUUUACUUACAUACAACAAGAAAAAUAGCAAGGCAAAACAGUAUUUUCUAAGUCUCAUAGAGAUGUGCUAUCUGAUAAAGACGAUGCCAGGAAAGGUUUAGAGGUUUUGAAGAAAGUGCAGGAUUUGACCUUACGUUGGACCACUUAGAGGAGGGAACAUUCAAGGGGAAGAGAGUAAGUCCAUAAACAGUGGCAUGACGACGUUUUGGUUGUUGGGGUCUGCAAGGAAUUGUAAACAUCAGACAAAUAUGGCUGCUUUGGAGAGUUGUCAGAGUCAGCUUGUGCAGUAGCUUAGUGAAGGCAUUAAGUGCCUUGCACAGAGAGCUGGUGUGUGUCCUAGGUAUAGAGCAAAAUUUAGUUGAUACCUUUGUAUCUAUCUACCACAGCACAGUAAAUCAUAAGAUGUCAUCAAGCCCUAACCAGUUAUCUUGCUUCUCUCUUAAACUUGGAAUCUCCGUUUUUCUUUAUCCUGUCAAGGUCAUCCUGUUUCAAAGUUGGUGGAUACUUUCUUCAUGAUGUCUCUCAGAUCUUCCUUUCUAAUUACCUUAUUUUUCUAGUAUGGUUCUCCAUGAUCUCACAACCCUGUAAAUGGUACAGACCUCUUAUUGUGUCAACUUCUAUUCUUUAGGGCUUUUAAAGUGAGUUAGUUUAAAUGAACAAGGAGAGUUUUUGGCAUAUGUAGGUAACCUGGUUAAAAAAAGGAGUAAACCUCAUCUGGGAGACAAGUGAAUCCAAGGACUGGCAAGCUGUCAGAUCUCUCUUCCCAUCUCUUGAUUCCUGUCUAUGUUAGCUUCAUUCUUAUCUUCUGCAUACAAGCUAACUUUGUGUGGUAAGGAGCAUGGUCUCAGCCUACUUCAUAUUCAUAUUUCUGCAGUGUAGUUAUCUAAGAGGAAAUAAACUCUUUCUUGUCAGUUGUGUUCAGAAAGUAACUUAAGUGCUACAAUUGGUUCUGCUUUGAUUAAGAGAUUGUCGCCAGAGAAAUCACUAUAGUCAAGGAGAUAGGGUACUGGAACUGGGGCUUCCAUCAGAACCACUUAGUGGGUGUAGAGUAGUAGAAAAUUAUCCGGCCUAGAGAAAUAUGUUUCUGAGAAGAUAAAAAAAUAAAUGCCCACUGCCCUCUCUAAUCUCUGAGUAACAGUCUUUAAAUAUAUUUUCAGCAUAAUACUUUCACAUUCAAAUUGAACUAUCUUUUCUAGCAUUAAACUUUUUUUCCAAUGGUUGUUAUACGAUGACUUCUCUCAUCAUUGUCAAUAUGUUGAUCCCAUUUGUUGUGGGUUUAAAACUAGGCUCUCCAAUUUACUAGUUAGGUGAUCUUAAGCAAUUUAUCGUCUCUAACCUUGAAUUUUCAUCCCUAAAGUCGGGAUACUAAUGUGCUAACUUUAUGAGUUAAUUGUGAGGAGUAAAUCAGCUCACAAAGUACAUAGAAGGCACUUAACAUUUCUUAUUCCUUGGUAUGAAUAGAGUAUGUGUAGGAUGAAAGUUGCAUGCUGUGUUAAAAAAAGCAGAAGACUAGGUGACACAACCUGUUAUUGUCCUUCCCAAAGAGCAUGGAUAAGGCUAGGGAAAAAAAAAAAAAAGACAAGCUCCUUAAUAAAAUUUCUGGAAAACAUUCAUUUCAUUCUAUCUUCAAAAUUCUGGGGAUAUAUUUCCUCAGAAAGCUCCAUACAUAAUGGGCUUUAGGCACUGAAAACAUAUCAGGGCCUUUGCCCAACAAUGGAAAAUUCACUACUUCAACCAUUUUCUUUAGUAUUCUUUAGCAACUCCUUGGUUUAAUCACUGGAUAAUGUUGAAAGAUUUGGUGAAAAACACUUGUUUGAAGGGUCUGUUUACUUGAAGUGAAACUAAGGGCCAUGAAGGUGAUCCAGCUAGCUUUCUCUUGUGUAGCCAAAGACAAUUCUAGAUCUUCCUGCUGUGUCUGAUUUUUGAUCAAAGAUUGGGAUUGGGGAGCAGUGAGUUCAGCGGCACUGAGUUUGGCACCGUAUGUUAGGAAUGGCGGGGGUCAUAAAAAGAGAAAAUGGGGAUGAGGACAUGGGAAGUUCUCAAUUCUUGAAGUGGAAUUAAAGAAAUGUGAAAUAACAUUACGUGAGAAAAUACUCAGGAAAUACCAAUAUAACAUACAAAUUCCCAUUACGCUGUUUCUGGGUAGGUGCUGAGUCAGAAUUUCUAGGAUAGAAGGAAUAUUGACGGAGGCAAGCAGUUUUGGUGAAAUGAUGGCCAACACGAAUCUUGUUCAGACUCUUUGUCCUCUUCUAUUUUCUCUGUGGAAAUUCUCCCCAAUGCCCGCCCCUCUCUCUACUCUCCCCUGUAAGCCUUGCCUCCCAGGGUUUGCCCCCUUACAUUUUACUGUCAGAUAUUUCAGAUAUUUUUAUAUUUUCAUGUAGUGAUAGGUGUAAUUCUAAGAUGGUCCCCAAAUUCCUGCCCCCUGGCAUGCCCACCAUGUAUAAUUUCAUACUCUUGACUGGGGGUGGCACCAUUAAUAUGAUUAAUGAUGCUAAUGGCAUAGCAAAGUUUGUAUAGUUACUCAAGUGAUUACAUUAAGUUAUAUAAGACUCCUUCUUAGCAUCCUGGAGAAAGAUUCUCCUGUUGGCUUUAAAGAAUAAGCUUCCAUGUUGUGAGAGGGGCAUGUGACCAGGACUCAAAGGCAGCUUUUAGGAGUUAAAAGCCACUCCCAUCCCCACAGCCAACAAGAAAUGGGGAUCUCGGUUCCUCCCUCAAAAGGAACUGAAUCCUGCCAACAACCUGAAUGAGCCAGAAAAAAUAUCCUAAUCUCCAGAUGAGAAUGCACCCCAUACAGCACCUUAAUUUCAGCCUAAGGACCCCUGAACAGAGAAUCAGCUAUACUCUACCCAAGCCCUUGACACACAAAGACCAUGAGAUAAAACAUUUCUAUUUUUUUAAGUAAAGUUUGCAGUAAUUUGCUAUGCAGCUUUAGAAAACUUUAAAUUCUAAAGAAUUUUUAAAAAAUCUAAUUUAAAUUAGAAUUAUGCCUUAUCCUUAAUUAAUUUCUUCAUACCUUUCAGUGCACAUACUUUAGUACUUUGUACAAAGUAACCAUACAAUUAAAAUUUGCUGAUGGAUUAAUUUGUUGAUUAGGAUAAUUAUCCUAAAAUUUUAUUUCCAAUGUCUAUUUUCCCCCCACCAGAAAAGUCCUUAAAACUUUUUCUAAGUAUUUAGUAAAUAUCAUCUUUUUUUUUCCCCUGGAAAAUUCCUCCACUUAUUAACCUGUCAACAUAUUCGUGCUGACCCAAACCAAAUAAGUAAGCAGUGUAGGUCAAAAGAUACUUUGGAAAGGAAGAUCAUGCUAUUUGGGGACAGUUUCAGUGGGUAGUUAUAAUCAGUCAAGUAUUAAAUUAUGAAAAAAUGUCAUAUGAAGUUUGGUAUGAACACAUUAGAACUUUAAAUUUUUUCCUGAUGUUUCCCAAUUAUGUUAAUAUACAUUGAGAGUAAUAAAAAUGAUAAUAACAAUAGCUAACUUUUAUUAAUCACCUCAUAUGUUCCUGGCAAUUAAGAGUUUAAUCUGUUAAUAUAUUUAAGCUCUAAAAAUAUUUGUAACCUCAGUUACUAUUACUGUCUUCAUCUUAUUGAUAAGGAAACCAAGGCAAAAAGGUUAAAUAAUUUGUCCAGGGUCAAAUAGAUAGCAACAACAGUAAUAAUAAACUUUUGCAGAGCACUUCAAUGGUGCUUUACUUAUUACGUUGGCGCAAAAGUAAUUGCAGUUUUUGCCACUACUUUAAAUGGCAAUAUAUUAACUCAUUUAAUUUCUACGAUUAUUGUGUGAAUUAAGUACUAUUAUUCCUUCAUUUUAGAGAUAAGAAAACAGAGGCUUGCAAAUCAUUUUAGAGCACUUUUCUUCUCUAAAUGCUUCACUGUUAUAAGCUAAUAACAGUAAACUUAUUUUAAAAAUCAAUUUUUUUUCAAAAUUCCAAAAUCAGUUCAAUACUGCCAGAUUAAUCUUCCUUGCAUACUAGCAGAGUCUUCUACAGGAAACAUUCAAUGACUGCCUGUUGCUAACUUACGAAAUUCCAACAACUUAUGAUGGCCAUUUAGGGUCUUCCAUGCUCUCACUCCAAUGUGUAUUUCUAGUUAAAUUUUCUACUAUGCCUCAACAUGCACCCUGGGUUCAGUCAAAUCAGCAUAAGUAAUGUUCAUUACACCCAGGCUUUCAUGGCUCUGUGGUUUUCUGAUUUAAUUUUGGCCACCUGGAAGGCCCUCCUCCACCUCCACUUGUCAAAAUAGCAUUUCCUUCUAUUUCAUAUCUCAACUUCUCCAGCAACAGUUUAAUUCUAUAACCAGACAUGUUGCUUUCCUUUACUUUGCACAUAAAGGAAUUAUUUAACAUAUUACAAUUAUAUUUAUAUUACAGACUUUUCUUUCUUCCAUAUCUUCCCUAAUGACUAUAUAUUUCUUGAACGGGAAAAACAAUGCUCAUAGGAAAAUAACGUAUCUAAUAUUAUUUGAGAGUUAUAUGAAUUCAUUCAGUAUAAAUUCUCUUCUAAGGGACUUUGAAUUUAUUUCUCUAAUUGUUUGAUAAAAGAAUUACACAGAGAUGUUGUUUUUUAGAUUCUUUCCUCAUAUCCUGGAAAGUUCAUGUCUCAAUUUCCCUUAGUUUUCCAUUUUUAAGGGCUAUGAUCUGAUCUACAUAAUAAUAUAAAAAAUGGAAAUAAGUAAAUUGAAGCUUUUUUAGUGGAAUAAGGAUAUAUUACAUUAUUGAGCAUUACUAAGUGCCAGACAACAAUCCUUGUCCUCAUGGAGCUUAGAUUCCAAUAGGAAAAAAUAAAAAAUAAACAUAUAUAUAUAGAAGUUCUAUGAUAGGUACUAUAAAAACAUAGAUCAAAGUUAAACAUUGGUUGUGGCAGAAGGUGAGAUAAGGCAUAUGUGGUCAUGGCAGGCCUCAUUGGAAAGGUGAUAAGUGAGUAGGAAGAGCUGCCCAAGAAAGUUUUUUCCUCCCUUGAGUGUGGAUUAUUGAGGGGAAGGAUGCUGCCUCUCUAUUGAUGAAGAGAAAAUCUUUUCUUACCUUUGGUUUUAUUGAGUGUAAUGACAAAUGAUUUGAAACUGUUUGACAUUCCUAGUCACUCAAAUAAAUGUAGAAUUUGAGUAACUGGAUCUGACAUACACUCUUUAAAGUGUUAAGUCAGAAGCAUGAUGCUAUGGGCUGAAUUAUGUCUACCCCAAAUUUAUAUAUAUGUAUAUGUAUGUGUGUACGUGUGUGUAUAUAAAAUAUCUUAUCUUUCCUGCCGAUUUUUCUUCCCUGGUUGAACCCUAAAUGACAACUUACAAAAAACAAAUGAGACUUUUUUUCUAAGAGUGUACAAAUUACCAUUUGAUUAGAUAAUUCAAUCAUAUAUCAGUAAUCAAUUUAGAUCAAUUUCAAAAUAGUUAAUUUGUUAUGUAUACACUCUAAGAAUGAAAGAUUCUAUGAAUAUGUUAUACAUUUUCCCAAAAAGAAUGAAUUUCAAACCAAAAGAGUAGCAUAUGCCUUCCGGGAAAAUAAACUGUUUCUGAAGUCAAUAAUUUAUUCUUUGCUCAUAGCAAGCGUACAUCCUUCCCAACUUAAAAUAAUCAAAAAUUUCAAUCAAACUUACUUUCACCUUAGACCCUUUCCUCUUCUUCAUUGGUCUCUCAGAAUUAUAGCUUACACCCAUAGUUUCAAUUUUUUCACUUUUCAUUUACUCCUCAGUCAUUAACAUUUGGCUUCCAUUCUUAAAACUCUACCAAAAUAAUCCUUGAUGAUUGCUUUGCCAUUAAAUGACUGUAUUUAAUGAUCACUUUACGUGACCCCUCAGCAUCACUCAAUAAUAUUGUCCCCUUCUUCUUUCCGGGAAAUCUUUCUUUCCAUUUGCAUCAAUGACAUCACAAUCUGGUUUUCCUACUGUUUCCAGAUUACUCUUUUUCUGACCCUUUUUCUUUUUUUUUUCAUGUAAUACCAUUUUAAUAAGCCAUGUAUGUUUAUUAUUUAAUUACAUGUUUGUUAUGCACAAACUGCUCUUAUACAGUUCUGUUAGCCAGUAUAAUAACGUUUUUAACUUUGUCGAUAACAAACUUGUAUUUGUAAUGUAACAUAUGCUGUGCUCUAGUCUAAAAAUUGGUGCUUAAACUGUUCACUAAUUUAAUUAUGUAGGAUGCAAUAUGUUCCAAAAUCCAGUGCACUUAAUUGUAUUUAAAUUUGGUUUUCAUUUAAGAUCCUCACAUGCUAAGAAGUAGAGCAGCCUUGUAGAAUUGAUCCUUUCUCAUUUGAAGCCAAGUCUGAUCAUCUCUUGACACCCAGGUUGGGCUGAAUGCAGAGGAUGGGUCUUAGUUUUUUUUUUUUUUUUUUAUUCAAAGAGCAUUGCAUCUUUCCUAACUCAAGUAGUUUCUAUCCUCAUUUCAGACCUCCAGCUUGACUACUCAUUAACAGAUGAGUUCUGCAGAAACCACUUCUUGGUGGGACUGUUACUGAGGGAGGUGGGGACAGCCCUCCAGGAGUUCCAUCUGAUCGCCAUCAGUGUGCUCAAGAACCUGCUGAUAAAGCAUUCUUUUGAUGACAGAUAUGCUUCAAGGAGUCAUCAGGCAAGGAUAGCCACCCUCCACCUGCCUCUGUUUGGUCUGCUGAUUGAAAACGUCCCGCGGAUCAAUGUGAGGGAUGUGUCACCUUUCCCUGUGAACGUGGGCAUGAUGUUGAGAAAGUAUUUGAAGGCACCUGACAACAAAACCCUCAGAAGACUCAGGAGAAGGGUCAUUAGCCACACUCUCUUACAGUCCUUCUCCUGUUUGGAAUUCCAGUUUCCUAUACAAAGGUGGCUGCGAUGGGCCAGGGCCAUGGCUGGAAGAGGUAAGACCUUCAACAUAGCAGUCAACUUGGACAUUAUCAGACUUGUUUUAACACAAAAUGGUAAAUAUCCAAUUAUCAGAUGAGAUUCAACAUUUUAUGGCCUGCCAUGUUGAAAACCCUAAUGAUAGGUCGCAUUGUGAUCCCUGUAAACUGUCAACCAGGACUGCGAAAAGCACCAUGACAAAUGACUAAACAUUGUCUCUACUAAUCAUAUUUGGGGUUGGCCUGAUGUACUAGCUAGAGUUUGUUUAUUUUUCGUAAACAAAUAAAAUAGAUAAAGCUCAAGUUUCCUAUGUUCUUCUACAAGGCAGAUUUUCUUCACCCCUCCCCUCAAAAGAAAAUCACUAUUAUUAAUUUUAGUAUCUCAUUUGUCCAGAUUUUAAAAUUGUUAUUACAUACACAUAUAUCCAUGAAAAGAUACCAAAAUACUAUGUUAUUAAUAUGUAUCCAAUAGUAUUAUAUUCUGCAUACUAUCCUAUAACAUGUUUUUUUCUACUCAAAAUUACCUUUUUGAGUUACCUCAUGUAAAUUAAACCAUUUAGAUAUAGUGAAUCUAAUUUAUUUAUUUUGGUGCUAUGUAGUAAGUAUUCCAGUGUAUAUAUGUACUAUCAUUGAAUUCUCCAUCCCUUUAUUGAUGGGUUUUUGAUUUGUUUCCAUUUCUCCCUAUUACAAAAAAGGCUAGUGGAUAUCCCUGUGCAUUUAGCUUUACAUGCAUAUGUGAGUAUAGAGAGAACAGAACUGUUGGGUUGUAGGAUAUGCUUAUUUUCCACUUCAAGAGUUGCCCUCUAAAAGAAAUUGGUAUUGAUUUACAUCCCCACCUGCUGUGUGUCAGCAAUCUAUUCUCACAUCCUCCUAUCAUUUGGAAUAGUUAUAACUUUUGCCGUUAUAAUGAAUUUGAAAUGGUAUCUCAUUUUGUUUGGCAUUCUUUUUCCCAACCAGUACUAUCUGUUUUAUACUUACUCACCUGUUACCUGUUUUUUGAAUAAAUGAUACAUGUCCUUUGCCUACUUUCCACUGGAUUCUCUUUUAUCAUAUUCUUAUUGACAGAUAAGAAUUAUUUGAAUUUUUCUAAUGUCUGCAAUAUAUAUUGGUUACAUUUUCCAGCUUAUUGCUUUUCUUUUAACUUGAUAGUCCCCUUUUAAUAUAGAAAUUUUGGAUGUUAUUAUAAUUAGGAAUUGCUAAUUUCUUACUUUAUGAUUUAUGUCUUUUUCAAGAAAAAUCUCUGCCAAAAUGUUAUAUUAGUCUUAAGUAUAGUUUUAAAGCUUUUUUUUCAUGUGUUUAUGUCUAUAUCUUAUACAUAAUAAUUUUAUGUAUGGUUUGACUCAGGUAUUAAAUUUUAUUAUGGACAUGUAUUGCUCUGGCAUUGUUUAUGGAGUAACUACAGUUUCCCUUCUGAUUUUUAAUUCCUCCUAUAGUGUAGAAAAAGAUCCCAGAAAACAUUUAGUGUCUUAAUUGCUCAUCUGUUUCCUAUCAAUCUAUCUUUUCCUGAACAAAUAUUACAGAUCUUAAUUACUAUAGUUUUACAAUAAGUUUUGAUAUCUGAUUAAAGCAAGUUACCCCAACCUAUGCUCCUUCAAAAUAUUGUGCUUACUAAUAGUCCUUUAGCUCUUUGGUGUAAAUGUUAGAAAUUGCUUUUGAAAUUACAAGGUGUUUGAGUUGUAAUUGCAUUUAAUUUUGUGAUUAAUUUAAAAAGAUUUAUAUCUUUAAUAAUUGUUUUCAAAUCUAAAGAUUGUAAACAUAUUUUUCCUUUUUAUUCAUGCAUUCUCUAGGUCCCCAUAUGCCUUCUAUUUUUAAAGUUGGGUGUAUUGAGAUAUAAUUUAUAUAGAAAUUAUAAUAAUUUCAGUAUAUUAACAAUAUAUUAAACCAUUUUAAGGUGUACAGUUCAAUGAGUUUUGACAAAUGUAUAAAGUCAUGUAACCAUUACCUCAGAAUAUAGAAUUUCUAUCACUCCUUCUGUGGUUUGAAUGUUUGUGCCUUCCCAAUCCUAACUCAUAUAUUGAAAUUCUAAUCCCCAAGGUCAUGGAUGGUAUUAGGAGAUGGGGCUUUUGGGUAGGUGAUCAGGUCAUUAGGGUUCCAUCCUCAUGAAUGAUAUUAGUGCCCUUGUAAAAGGGGCAAGAGAGAGCUGCCUUGUCCUUUAUACCAUGUGAGGACACAGGAAUAAACCACCAUCUAUGAGGAAGGGGUCCUCACCAGACAUUAAAUUUGCUCAUGCCUGGAUCUUGGAGUUCUUAGAAUCCAGAACCAUGAGGAAUGAGUGUUGUUUACAAGCCACAAAGUUUGUGGUAUUUUGUUAUGACAGAUGAAAUGGACUAAGACAGCUCCAAAAAGUUUUGUUGUACCUCUCUGUAGUUAACCCACUCUCCUAUCAGUAGCCCUUGGCAACCACUGAUCUGAUUUCUGUUCCUGUAGUUUCACCUUUUCCAGAGUAUUAUAUCAAUGAAUCAUACAGCAUGUAUGAUUUUCUUUACUUACAACAAUGCUUUAAGAUACAUUCAUGUUGUUCUAUGAAAGGGUAAUUUGCUCCUUUUUAGUUCUAAGUAGUAUUCCAUUGAAUGGACGUACCAUGACUUAUUUAUCCAUUUACUUACUGAUGAACAUUUUUUAAAAUUUCCACUUUGUAGUGAUUACGAAUAAACAUUCAUUCACAGGUUUUGUGUGAACAUAUACUUUUAUUUAUCUUGAAUGAACACCUAGGAAUUUGGUUGCUGGGUCACAUGGUAAGAGUAUUUUUAACUUUAUCAAAAAGCAGCCUACUUAUUUUAUUAAUGACGUUAGCAUUUUGCAUUCUUACCAGUACUAUGUGAGAGUUCUAGCUGCUAUGUAGUAUCACUAGCACUUGAUACUUUCACUUUUAUAUUAUUUUGGCUAUUCUC